rnacentral:lncRNA from 1 species
ACUUCGUCAUUUUGAAUCGUCCUCAUUUGCCGCUACCGACCAGAGUCCGUUAUACAUACUCUGGUCAAACGAAGAAAUUGUGAACGUUUUGUAAUUUAAAGUGCUGUGAAUAUCUGUUAUUUGUACCCAGCAUUCAUGUAACCGGCGAAAUGGUAAAUUUAGUUCUUGUAUUUUUGAGUCGUGUCUAAUUAGUGUCUUAAUUGUUAAUUGUAGUGUCAGGGAGUUGGUCCCAACCCGCACCAUCCAAACUAACCGUCAAGGACCGCGCUCUUCGCUAAAAGUGGUCGUUUGGUUGGUGGUGCAAGGAGGUAACAAGAUUGUGAACCUCCAAGUUGGCAGAGCGCGCCAACCCGAGAAUCUGUUAGAGCGCAAUGGCGGAGGCCAUCCGGUUUUUUUCUACCAAAGACAAAGACACAAAACCAAAGACACCAAAACCGUUGCUGCGCCAGGCCUGGCCGGAGGAAGAUCCUCCGACUUGACUCGACCACCGCGGGAUACACUAGAACACACGAACACACACACACAUGGUUAGGUUAGUUUUAAAACGACGAAAAACAAUAAAUUAGGACAGUUAAAUGCAAUAAACAUGA